rnacentral:misc_RNA from 1 species
GUGAAUCAUCAAAUUUUUGAACGCAAAUUGCACUUUCUGGUAUUCCGGAAAGUAUGCCUGUUUGAGGGUCAGUUAAAUAAAAAAUCGGGGUGUUGGCGGCCUUUCUUGUUGACGGGUCGGAAUGGGGUCGUCUUACUUUCGGUUAAGGGACUUAAAAUUUUUGAAGGAUUUUCAGGGGUAUUUAAAUGCCUUACGUACGUUUGAGAUAUC